CCCACCCUACUAACUUCCUUGCCUGCCUGCAUUUUUCUGCCUCUAUGCCCAGUCUCUGCACUCCCUCUCAGGCUGGGCCUUGGCCCUGAAGCAUUGUCUCCUCUCUCCCUAGGACCUGGCCAACCUGGCACCUCGGAAACCUGACUGGGAUCUGAAGAGAGAUGUGGCCAAGAAGCUGGAGAAACAGACCCAGAGAGCCAUUGUAGAGCUGAUCCGUGAACGGCUGAAAGGUCAGGUGGACAGCCUGGCCUCUGCAGUGGCUGCCAACAUUGAAACAGAGGCCUGUGACUCCGACUGACAUGUUUUCCUGGUUUAAUUUCUUGAGCACACACAUCUCCUGUCAUGUAAAUGGUGCUUUUUAACUUCUGUAAAUAAACUUUUAUUUAGUAGAGGCA